rnacentral:rRNA from 1 species
UACGUAGGGUGCAAGCGUUGUCCGGAAUUAUUGGGCGUAAAGAGCUCGUAGGCGGUUUGUCGCGUCUGCUGGUGAAAACUCGGGGCUUAACCCCGGGCCUGCAGUGGGUACGGGCAGACUAGAGUGCGGUAGGGGAGACUGGAAUUCCUGGUGUAGCGGUGAAAUGCGCAGAUAUCAGGAGGAACACCGGUGGCGAAGGCGGGUCUCUGGGCCGUAACUGACGCUGAGGAGCGAAAGCGUGGGGAGCGAACAGG